AUACGGAGGGUCCGAGCGUUAAUCGGAAUUACUGGGCGUAAAGCGCGCGUAGGCGGAUAUUUAAGUCAGAUGUGAAAUCCCUGGGCUCAACCUAGGAACUGCAUUUGAAACUGGAUAUCUAGGGUAUGGUAGAGGUGAGUGGAAUUUCAGGUGUAGCGGUGAAAUGCGUAGAGAUCUGAAGGAACAUCAGUGGCGAAGGCGACUCACUGGGCCAUUUCUGACGCUGAGGUGCGAAAGCGUGGGUAGCAAACAGGAUUAGAAACCCGAGUAGUCC
rnacentral:rRNA from 1 species